UUAAGCGACUAAGCGUACACGGUGGAUGCCCUGGCAGUCAGAGGCGAUGAAGGACGUGCUAAUCUGCGAAAAGCGUCGGUAAGGUGAUAUGAACCGUUAUAACCGGCGAUGUCCGAAUGGGGAAACCCAGUGCAAUUCGUUGCACUAUCGUUAACUGAAUACAUAGGUUAACGAGGCGAACCGGGGGAACUGAAACAUCUAAGUACCCCGAGGAAAAGAAAUCAACCGAGAUUCCCCCAGUAGCGGCGAGCGAACGGGGAGCAGCCCAGAGUCUGAAUCAGCUUGUGUGUUAGUGGAACGGUCUGGAAAGUCCGACGGUACAGGGUGAUAGUCCCGUACACCAAAAUGCACAGGYUGUGAACUCGAAGAGUAGGGCGGGACACGUGGUAUCCUGUCUGAAUAUGGGGGGACCAUCCUCCAAGGCUAAAUACUCCUGACUGACCGAUAGUGAACCAGUACCGUGAGGGAAAGGCGAAAAGAACCCCGGCGAGGGGAGUGAAAAAGAACCUGAAACCGUGUACGUACAAGCAGUGGGAGCACCUUCGGGUGUGACUGCGUACCUUUUGUAUAAUGGGUCAGCGACUUAUAUUCUGUAGCAAGGUUAACCGUAUAGGGGAGCCGCAGGGAAACCGAGUCUUAACUGGGCGUUAAGUUGCAGGGUAUAGACCCGAAACCCGGUGAUCUAGCCAUGGGCAGGUUGAAGGUUGGGUAACACUAACUGGAGGACCGAACCGACUAAUGUUGAAAAAUUAGCGGAUGACUUGUGGCUGGGGGUGAAAGGCCAAUCAAACCGGGAGAUAGCUGGUUCUCCCCGAAAGCUAUUUAGGUAGCGCCUCGUGAAYUCAUCUUCGGGGGUAGAGCACUGUUUCGGCUAGGGGGUCAUCCCGACUUACCAACCCGAUGCAAACUACGAAUACCGAAGAAUGUUAUCACGGGAGACACACGGCGGGUGCUAACGUCCGUCGUGAAGAGGGAAACAACCCAGACCGCCAGCUAAGGUCCCAAAGUCAUGGUUAAGUGGGAAACGAUGUGGGAAGGCACAGACAGCCAGGAUGUUGGCUUAGAAGCAGCCAUCAUUUAAAGAAAGCGUAAUAGCUCACUGGUCGAGUCGGCCUGCGCGGAAGAUGUAACGGGGCUAAACCAUGCACCGAAGCUGCGGCAGCGACACUAUGUGUUGUUGGGUAGGGGAGCGUUCUGUAAGCCUGCGAAGGUGACCUGUGAGGGUUGCUGGAGGUAUCAGAAGUGCGAAUGCUGACAUAAGUAACGAUAAAGCGGGUGAAAAGCCCGCUCGCCGGAAGACCAAGGGUUCCUGUCCAACGUUAAUCGGGGCAGGGUGAGUCGACCCCUAAGGCGAGGCCGAAAGGCGUAGUCGAUGGGAAACAGGUUAAUAUUCCUGUACUUGGUGUUACUGCGAAGGGGGGACGGAGAAGGCUAUGUUAGCCGGGCGACGGUUGUCCCGGUUUAAGCAUGUAGGCUGGUUAUCCAGGCAAAUCCGGAUAAUCAAGGCUGAGGUGUGAUGACGAGGCACUACGGUGCUGAAGUAACAAAUGCCCUGCUUCCAGGAAAAGCCUCUAAGCAUCAGGUAACAUCAAAUCGUACCCCAAACCGACACAGGUGGUCAGGUAGAGAAUACCAAGGCGCUUGAGAGAACUCGGGUGAAGGAACUAGGCAAAAUGGUGCCGUAACUUCGGGAGAAGGCACGCUGGUGUGUAGGUGAAGUCCCUGCGGAUGGAGCUGAGACCAGUCGAAGAUACCAGCUGGCUGCAACUGUUUAUUAAAAACACAGCACUGUGCAAACACGAAAGUGGACGUAUACGGUGUGACGCCUGCCCGGUGCCGGAAGGUUAAUUGAUGGGGUUAUCCGUAAGGAGAAGCUCUUGAUCGAAGCCCCGGUAAACGGCGGCCGUAACUAUAACGGUCCUAAGGUAGCGAAAUUCCUUGUCGGGUAAGUUCCGACCUGCACGAAUGGCGUAAUGAUGGCCAGGCUGUCUCCACCCGAGACUCAG
rnacentral:rRNA from 1 species